AACAGGUGGAGUCGGGGAGGCAUGACGGUAGACAUGUGGAUGUUAUCGUGGCAUUGACACAUUUUGCUCCACCGACACUGCAUACCAACGCAGCUAUACUUUUGCAACAGUCAAGAGGGAAGUCUGCACUCAUUUUCUGUUCUACAAGAAAAGGUGCACAAGAAGCAGCACAAUACCUCUCAAGAAGUGCAGUCUCUUGGCUAUUGAACAAAUUCAUUAAUGAAAUCGAUGCAGCAGUACGAAAAUCUAUGAGAAGCUUCCUUAACCUGUAGUUGUUGUUCAUUGCUUCAUACCAUCUAUGAAGCAAACAAAAGGACUUCACUCCCAUGGAAUCAUGAAGCCAUUGAUCUACGUCAACUAGAUGUUUUAGAUUUCAUUUUGUACAACAGAUGUCUCAUGCAUGCAUUUUUUACAUGUACUUUUGUGAAUUGUAUGCUCACUUUGUACAACUUAUGUCUCAUACAUGCACCUUUUACCAAUCCUUUUGUGAACAGGAUGUAUGGUAUCUGAGUAGUUAUGUUUAGAACAGACUUAAGUGUGUGUAUGUGACAAAUAGUUAUUGGAAUAAAAAAUGUUUGCUGGACCUGAA